AACCUGGUCGGGUGGUCUGCCUUACGGUACGUACUGCUUGGCCGGGUUUUACCUCUUGGUGAGCCAGCAUGUCCUUAAUUGGGUGUGUUGGGGAACCAGGACUUUUACCUUGAGAAAAUUAGAGUGUUCAAAGCAGGCCUUUGCCCGAAUACAUUAGCAUGGCAUAAUAAAAUAGGACGU
rnacentral:rRNA from 1 species